CCUCGGACGUGAUCAAAUUGUGUGGACUUGAAAUCUAGUCUAGUCCUGACCUCAUAGUCGGAUUUGAAAUAUUAUCCCUUGUCAAAUCAGAUGCCAAUGGUGGCCAAGGAAGAUUCAGUUUUGGUAUUUCUUGCACCUUUUGGUGAAGAAUCAAUGCAACAUUGUAUAGAAUUUGUAACUCAUUGACUUUAGAAUUUCCCUCAGUUUUUGUGUUGGAAUUCACAUCUUCAUAAUCAAUGGUACAGCUCUCUUCAUCAAAGU